UACGUAGGGUGCAAGCGUUGUCCGGAAUUAUUGGGCGUAAAGAGCUCGUAGGCGGUCUGUCGCGUCUGCUGUGAAAACUCGGGGCUUAACCUGGGAAUUGCAGUCGAUACUACUCAGCUAGAGUAUGGGAGAGGGCAGUGGAAUUCCCGGUGUAGCGGUGAAAUGCGUAGAUAUCGGGAGGAACAUCAGUGGCGAAGGCGGCUGCCUGGCCCAAUACUGACACUCAGGUGCGACAGCGUGGGGAGCAAACAGG
rnacentral:rRNA from 1 species